UACGUAGGUGACAAGCGUUGUCCGGAUUUACUGGGCGUAAAGAGCGCGCAGGCGGUCGUUCAAGUCGAGUGUGAAAGCCCCCGGCUCAACUGGGGAGGGUCACUCGAUACUGAUCGACUCGAAGGCAGGAGAGGGAAGUGGAAUUCCCGGUGUAGUGGUGAAAUGCGUAGAUAUUGGGAGGAACACCAGUGGCGAAGGCGGCUACCUGGACCGGUUCGUGACGCUGAUGCGCGAAAGCGUGGGUAGCAAACAGG
rnacentral:rRNA from 1 species